GACGAACGCUGGCGGCGUGCUUAACACAUGCAAGUCGAGCGGUAAGGCCUUUCGGGGUACACGAGCGGCGAACGGGUGAGUAACACGUGGGUGAUCUGCCCUGCACUUCGGGAUAAGCCUGGGAAACUGGGUCUAAUACCGGAUAUGACCUCCUAUCGCAUGGUGGGUGGUGGAAAGAUUUAUCGGUGCGGGAUGGGCCCGCGGCCUAUCAGCUUGUUGGUGGGGUAAUGGCCUACCAAGGCGACGACGGGUAGCCGACCUGAGAGGGUGACCGGCCACACUGGGACUGAGACACGGCCCAGACUCCUACGGGAGGCAGCAGUGGGGAAUAUUGCACAAUGGGCGAAAGCCUGAUGCAGCGACGCCGCGUGAGGGAUGACGGCCUUCGGGUUGUAAACCUCUUUCAGCAGGGGCGAAGCGCAAGUGACGGUACCUGCAGAAGAAGCACCGGCUAACUACGUG
rnacentral:rRNA from 1 species